GACGUAGGAUGCAAGCGUUGUCCGGAAUCAUUGGGCGUAAAGAGUUCGUAGGUGGCAUAUCAAGUCUGGUGUUAAAGCUCGGGGCUCAACUCCGAAUCGGCACUGGAUACUGAUAAGCUAGAGUACAGUAGAGGCAAGGGGAAUUCCCAGUGUAGCGGUGAAAUGCGUAGAUAUUGGGAGGAACACCAGUGGCGUAAGCGCCUUGCUGGGCUGUUACUGACGCUGAGGAACGAAAGCCAGGGGAG
rnacentral:rRNA from 1 species